UACGAAGGGGGCUAGCGUUGUUCGGAAUUACUGGGCGUAAAGCGCACGUAGGCGGAUAUUUAAGUCAGGGGUGAAAUGCCAGGGCUCAACCUUGGAACUGCCUUUGAUACUGGAGACCUUGAGUCCGGGAGAGGUGAGUGGAAUUGCGAGUGUAGAGGUGAAAUUCGUAGAUAUUCGCAAGAACACCAGUGGCGAAGGCGGCUCACUGGCCCGGAACUGACGCUGAGACGCGAAAGCGUGGGGAGCAAACAGG
rnacentral:rRNA from 1 species